rnacentral:rRNA from 1 species
GAUGAACGCUGACAGAAUGCUUAACACAUGCAAGUCAACUUGAAUUUGGGUUUUUAACUUAGGUUUGGGUGGCGGACGGGUGAGUAACGCGUAAAGAACUUGCCUCACAGCUAGGGACAACAUUUGGAAACGAAUGCUAAUACCUAAUAUUAUGAUAAUAGGGCAUCCUAUAAUUAUGAAAGCUAUAAGCGCUGUGAGAGAGCCUUGCGUCCCAUUAGCUAGUUGGAGAGGUAACGGCUCACCAAGGCGAUGAUGGGUAGCCGGUCUGAGAGGGUGAUCGGCCACAAGGGGACUGAGACACGGCCCUUACUCCUACGGGAGGCAGCAGUGGGGAAUAUUGGACAAUGGACCGAGAGUCUGAUCCAGCAAUUCUGUGUGCACGAUGAAGUUUUUCGGAAUGUAAAGUGCUUUCAGUUGGGAAGAAACAAAUGACGGCACCAACAGAAGAAGUGACGGCUAAAUACGUG